ACAGGCAGGGUUGCCAUGGGAGCGGCAGCACCAACGGCCACCUGCUCCUCGGAGAAACCCUGCUUGUGCCAGCUGAACCAACCAGCAAACACCCUUUUCUGUCACUGGUAUUGACAUCUCAAUCCUCCCAGGCAGGAGAUAACAGAAUUACACAAUAUGCUCUGCUGUUGGGAGGACAAAUAAUGGCGUGCUUCAAGACAGCAACUUGGCAAAAUCCACUCGAGCAUCAAAAUGAGCAUCUCCUUUGACCCUGUUCACCGCUUUUGAGAACUUCCUCCUGAAGACAGCCAGACGGAGACCAAGGAGUCCUGAUCAAAGGUGCUCAGCACCACGUACCACUACUAGAGAAAAC
rnacentral:lncRNA from 1 species